AUUGAACGCUGGCGGCAGGCUUAACACAUGCAAGUCGAGCGAGCGGCGGACGGGUGAGUAAUGUCUGGGUAACUGCCUGACGGAGGGGGAUAACUAAAGGAAACGGUAGCUAAUACCGCAUAACAUCCGAUGUGCCCAGAUGGGCUUAGCUAGUAGGUGGGGUAAUGGCUCACCUAGGCGACGAUCCCUAGCUGGUCUGUGAGGAUGACCAGCCACACUGGAACAUGGACACGGUCCAAACUCCUACGGGAGGCGGCAGUGGGGAAAAUUGGACAAAGGACACAAGCCUGAUGCAGCCAUACCGCGUGUGUGAAGAAGGCCUUCGGGUUGUAAAGCACUUUCAGCGAGGAGGCGUUACUCGCAGAAGGGGCACCGGCUAACUCCGUGCCAGCAGCCGCGGUAAUUC
rnacentral:rRNA from 1 species